rnacentral:ncRNA from 2 species
CAUCUAAUCGGUGAUGACGUUCGCCGUAACCAUUACAGAACGUAAUUAAUGACGUCUACAGUUGC